rnacentral:rRNA from 1 species
AUUGAACGCUGGCGGCAUGCCUUACACAUGCAAGUCGAACGGCAGCACGGGUGCUUGCACCUGGUGGCGAGUGGCGAACGGGUGAGUAAUACAUCGGAACGUACCUUAUCGUGGGGGAUAACGCAGCGAAAGCUGUGCUAAUACCGCAUAAGCCCUAAGGGGGAAAGCAGGGGACCGUAAGGCCUUGCGCGAUUAGAGCGGCCGAUACCGGAUUAGCUAGUUGGUGAGGUAAAGGCUCACCAAGGUAACGAUCAGUAGCUGGUCUGAGAGGCCGAUCAGCCACACUGGGACUGAGACACGGACCAGACUCCUACGGGAGGCAGCAGUGGGGAAUUUUAGACAAUGGGGGCAACCCUGAUCCAGCAAUGCCGCGUGAGUGAAGAAGGCCUUCGGGUUGUAAAGCUCUUUUGUCAGGGAAGAAACAGCAGCUCUAAUACAGUAUGCGAAUGACGGUACCUGAAGAAUAAGCACCGGCUAACUACGUGCCAGCAGCCGCAGUAA